GUCAAAAAAUGUCAUAGUGUAGUAAGACUUCCAAAAUAGUCAAAAAAUGUCAUAGUAUAGUAAGACUUCCAAAAUGGUCAAAAAAGUCAUAGUAUAGUAAGGCAUGGGAAAUGGUCAAAAAAUGUCAUAGUAUAGUAAGACUUCCAAAAUAGUCAAAAAAAUGUCAUAGUAUUGUGAGGCAUGAAAAAUGGUCAAAAAAUGUCAUAGAAUUAUGAGGCAUGAAAAAUGGUCAAAAAAUGUCAUAGUAUAGUAAGACUUCCAAAAUAGUCAAAAAAUGUCAUAGUAUAGUAAGGCAUGAAAAGUGGUCAAAAAAUGUCAUAGUAUAGUAAGACCUCCAAAAUGGUCAAAAAAGUCAUAGUAUAGUAAGGCAUGGGAAAUGGUCAAAAAAUGUCAUAGUAUAGUAAGACUUCCAAAAUGGUCAAAAAAGUCAUAGUAUUGUAAGCCAUGAAAAAUGGUCAAAAAAUGUCAUAGUAUAGUAAGACUUCUAAAAUGGUCAAAAAAUGCCAUAGUAUAAUAAGGCAUGAAAAAUAGUCAAAAAAUGUCAUAGUAUAGUAAGACUUCCAAAAUGGUCAAAAAAGUCACAGUACUGUAAGGCAUGAAAAAUGGUCAAAAAAUGUCAUAGUAUUGUGAGGCAUGAAAAAUGGUCAAAAAAUGUCAUAGUAUUGUAAGGCAUGAAAAAUGGUCAAAAAAUGUCAUAGUAUAGUAAGGCAUGGGAAAUGGUCAAAAAAUGUCAUAGUAUAGUAAGACUUCCAAAAUGGUCAAAAAAUGUCAUAGUAUUGUGAGGCAUGAAAAAUGGUCAAAAAAUGUCAUAGUAUAGUAAGACUUCUAAAAUGGUCAAAAAAUGUCAUAGUGUAGUAAGACUUCCAAAAUAGUCAAAAAAUGUCAUAGUAUAGUAAGACUUCCAAAAUGGUCAAAAAAGUCAUAGUAUUGUAAGGCAUGAAAAAUGGUCAAAAAAUGUCAUAGUAUAGUAAGGCAUGGGAAAUGGUCAAAAAAUGUCAUAGUAUAGUAAGACUUCCAAAAUGGUCAAAAAAUUCAUAGUAUAGUAAGGCAUGAAAAAUGGUCAAAAAAUGUCAUAGUAUAGUAAGACUUCCAAAAUGGUCAAAAAAUGUCAUAGUAUAGUAAGACUUCCAAAAUGGUCAAAAAAAGUCAUAGUAUUGUAAGCCAUGUAAAAUGGUCAAAAAAUGUCAUAGUAUAGUAAGACUUCUAAAAUGGUCAAAAAAUGCCAUAGUAUAGUAAGGCAUGAAAAAUGGUCAAAAAAUGUCAUAGUAUUGUGAGGCAUGAAAAAUGGUCAAAAAAUGUCAUAGUAUUGUAAGGCAUGAAAAAUGGUCAAAAAAUGUCAUAGUAUAGUAAGACUUCCAAAAUGGUCAAAAAAUGUAAUAGUAUUGUGAGGCAUGAAAAAUGGUCAAAAAAUGUCAUAGUAUAGUAAGACUUCUAAAAUGGUCAAAAAAUGUCAUAGUGUAGUAAGACUUCCAAAAUGGUCAAAAAAUGUCAUAGUAUAGUAAGACUUCCAAAAUGGUCAAAAAAGUCAUAGUAUUGUAAGGCAUGAAAAAUGGUCAAAAAAUGUCAUAGUAUAGUAAGACUUCCAAAAUGGUCAAAAAAUGUCAUAGUAUAG